AAGCGCUUGCAACCAGACUUGCGCGCGACGGUUCCCCCUUCCUUCUGGUUGGGCUACUCCGUCGUGUCCAGGCCAACAUCGGUUCUGGGGGGUGCAUAAAGGCCGCAGGAACGUAUCUCUUCGGAGUGUUAUAGCCUGUGGUGUAAUACACCUUCUGGGACCGAGGACCGCGCUCUGCAAGGAUGCUGGCGUAAUGGUCAUCAGCGA
rnacentral:rRNA from 1 species